UCCUACGGGGGGCAGCAGUGAGGAAUAUUGGUCAAUGGCCGAAGGGCUGAACCAGCCAAGCCGCGUGAAGGAAUAAGGCCCUACGGGUCGUAAACUUCUUUAGUCAGGGAACAAAGGGUGCCACGCGUGGCGCUGUGAGUGUACCUGAAGAAUAAGCAUCGGCUAACUCCGUGCCAGCAGCCGCGGUAAUACGGAGGAUGCGAGCGUUAUCCGGAUUUAUUGGGUUUAAAGGGUGCGUAGGCGGGUUAUCAAGUCAGCGGUAAAAUCUUGGAGCUCAACUCCAUCCAGCCGUUGAAACUUAUGAU
rnacentral:rRNA from 1 species